GUAACUUAUUUGCUGUCUGUUUCCCUUCACUAGACUCUGAGCACCUACAAAGUGUCCCUACCAAGAGCACCUCCCUUGGAGAAGCAGAGACAAAGAUAACUGAGGAACUAUUCCUGCCCUUGAGGAACCCACACUUCAAUCUAAAUGGACACCAAAAGUCAUUCUAUCUGCUAAAUACCUCUGGAAUCUGUCCUCAUUCCUACAUCUUCACUGCCACUGCUCCCAUCAUCUGGACUACUGCAUGUAGUAGUAUUUCAGUGUACUUCAGACAUGUGAGUCUGAAGGCGUGGGAAGAGGUCAGAAAUAUCCUCACUGCAUUUUCUGCUUCUAGGCUCACCAUCAGCCUGUUUCUUUACACCAGUUGCUACAGUAGUGUGGCACAAAUUCCCUCAUGUCAGUCUCUGUUUGGAAUCUGUCCUUUCCCCCAACCUUCCAGAAUAAAUCCCAAACUCCUUAA